AGUCAGCGGAGGAAAAGAAACUAACAAGGAUUCCCCUAGUAACGGCGAGUGAAGCGGGAUGAGCUCAAACUUAAAAUCUCCGUUGCUUGCAACGGCGAAUUGUAGUCUCGAGAAGCGUUUUCACGGCGGAUGCUCAGUGCUCAAGUUGCUUGGAACGGCACAUCGUAGAGGGUGACAAUCCCGUAUGUGGCACUGAGUACCGUUCACGAUGCGCUUUCCAUGAGUCGGGUUGCUUGGGAAUGCAGCCCAAAAUGGGAGGUAAACUCCUUCUAAAGCUAAAUAUUGGCACGAGACCGAUAGCGAACAAGUACCGUGAGGGAAAGAUGAAAAGCACUUUGAAAAGAAAGUUAAUAGUACGUGAAACCGUUGAAAGGGAAGCGCAUGGAAUUAGCAAUGCAUUGUCGAGAUUCAGACUGGCGGUGGCGACUACGCGUGCUGUGCGGAUCCGAAUGGACUGCCGGUGCGUGUCAGGCGUGUUUCGUUGGUCGCAUUUCCCGGCGGUGUGCGUCAACAGCUGUUGGAACCGAGUGACAAGCCUCGCGAGGAGGUGGCCGGCUUCGGUUGGUGUUAUAACUUGCGGGUGCGAGCUCGGGUUCGACAGAGGGGUUGCGGCACAUGCUCUUCGGGGCUGGCCUCUCUCUUCUCAGUCCUUCGUCGACCAGGGCGGACUGCGUGCAGUGCGUUCGAACUGCUUGGGGCUGUCGGGGGGAAGAGUGCACACACUGUGCCCAGGUUGUUGGCGGUCAUAUGAUUUCAUGCGACCCGUCUUGAAACACGGACCAAGGAGUCUAACAUGUGUGCGAGUCUUCGGGUGACUGAAACCCUCGGGCACAAUGAAAGUAAAGGCUCGCAAGAGCUGAAGUGAGAUCUCUCUUCGGGGAGCGCAUCAUUGACCGACCUAUUCUACUCCUAGAAAGGUUUGAGUAAGAGCACAUCUGUUGGGACCCGAAAGAUGGUGAACUAUGCUUGAGUAGGGCGAAGCCAGAGGAAACUCUGGUGGAGGCUCGUAGCGAUUCUGACGUGCAAAUCGAUCGUCAAACUUGAGUAUAGGGGCGAAAGACUAAUCGAACCAUCUAGUAGCUGGUUCCCUCCGAAGUUUCCCUUAGGAUAGCUGGAACUCGGAACAGUUUUAUCAGGUAAAGCGAAUGAUUAGAGGUCUUAGGGUUGAAACAACCUUAACCUAUUCUCAAACUUUAAAUUGGUAAGAAGCCCGACUUGCUUAAUUGAAGUAGGGCACAGAAUGAGAGUUCUUAGUGGGCCAUUUUUGGUAAGCAGAACUGGCGAUGCGGGAUGAACCGAACGCUGAGUUAAGGCGCCUAAAUCGACGCUCAUCAGACCCCACAAAAGGUGUUGGUUGAUCCAGACAGCAGGACGGUGGCCAUGGAAGUCGGAAACCGCUAAGGAGUGUGUAACAACUCACCUGCCGAAUCAACUAGCCCUGAAAAUGGAUGGCGCUCAAGCGUCGUGCCUAUACUCAGCCGUCAAAGCAAAUCGCGAAGCUUUGACGAGUAGGAGGGCGUGGGGGUCGUGACGCAGCCUUUGGCGUGAGCCUGGGUGAAACGGCCUCUAGUGAAGAUCUUGGUGGUAGUAGCAAAUAUUCAAAUGAGAACUUUGAAGACCGAAGUGGAGAAAGGUUCCAUGUGAACAGCAGUUGGACAUGGGUUAGUCGAUCCUAAGAGAUAGGGAAACUCCGUUUCAAAGCGUCCGAUCUUGGACCACUUAUCGAAAGGGAAUCGGGUUAAUAUUCCCGAACCGGAACGCGGAUAUUUUAGGCGCCUCGGUGCUUAGAUGUGCGGUAACGCAACUGAACUCGGAGACGUCGGCAGGAGCCCUGGGAAGAGUUCUCUUUUCUUGUUAACGGCCUGACACCAUGGAAUCUGAUUACCAGGAGAUAUGGUUUGAUGGCCGGUAAAGCACCACACUUCUUGUGGUGUCCGGUGCGCUCCUGAAGGCCCUUGAAAAUCCGAGGGAAAGAUUGAUUUUCGCGUCUGUUCGUACUCAUAACCGCAGCAGGUCUCCUAGGUGAGCAGCCUCUGGUCGAUAGAACAA
rnacentral:rRNA from 1 species